CAACUACAAUAAACUUAAAAAAACGAAGCCCUAAUAUGAUCUAAAAUAUAGCAAUGUAAUCGCAAAAUUGGCUAAUCAUUUAAUACUGAUUCACAAAAACAAAACACAAAAAAAAACUUAUUCACUCAGUGGGAUUUGAAUUCGGGCAAAAAGCAUUUAGCCUACAUACAUUAGACAACCUACAGACCCGCUAUGCCACGGUAGAGUUACUGUAAGAGGUAAAUUUAGCAAUAGCUUUGUAGCGUAACUUUUCUCUGAUUUCCUUUUAUUAUGAAGUGUUUCGCACACGUACUGGCAAGUUUUAUCUUUAAUUGAAGAGAAAAAUAUAUAUUUACAAUGUAAUUACAUACGCAUAUAUCCAAAUUACAUACAAUUCGAAAUUGACGUAAAUAUAAAAUUCAAGAACACAUGUUAAUUAACAAUCCGGAAUAUCUAAAGAAUUUGAGUAAAUUAUUAUUACAUUUUAUAUAACGCGAACACAAGAUUUAAAAUUUGUUUCAUAUACCAACAGACUACAGAUGUUCUUAUCAAAAUAUUCUGUACUCACGUUUCCAAUGCAUUUCCUUGCUAAUAUAUCCACUUUUAACCACUGUCACAGUACUUAUAAUCAAUCUCUGGGAUAACAUAUACACUUGUUUUUGUUCUAAACACUAUCCAAUUUAUUUUAACACUUCCUAAUGGCAUAUUUCUGCCUAAAACAAAUUGUCCCGGUUACAAACACCAUUUUUUUAUUAUAACUAAGAUUGACCACACGUCAUGAACUCAGUUUGCUAAUACACAUAUUAUCCUAAACUUCACAGCGAUUUUUAUUUCUCUCACAUACGGAUUUCCAUUAUUAAAACGACCUAGACUUAUUUUUACGAUAACUUGAAAACAAAAACAAUUAGACAUUCUUUACUCCAUCUUCACCGCUACAAACUGUCAAACGUAUCGGAAGCGUAUAUUAUAGGCGGCAAACUCAAAAUUGUAUGCGCGAAAAGCGGAAAAACUUGUACCCGGUGCAUCCUGCUGGAUUGUAUUUUAUAUUAUUGAUUUUUAAGAAUUUAUUCUUUUCAUUUACUUAUUCCUAGCAAAAUAUACAAAUAAUCUUGACCAUAAAUUAACAUUAUCAAUAAUCGAUGUUGUUGUCACCUAGUGUCAAGUAGCGACACUAUUACGGUGGUUAUCUACGUAUUCACUUCCGCACUCUAGUAAUGUCACAGUUCGCCGUCAGAUGACGCUGUAAAGAUAAGCUGCCAUUUUCCAUUUCACGAUCCGAAACACAACAUAUUGAAAAAAAUACAUAUCGAAACGAAUGCCAAAUUAUAAAAAUCGAUAUAUAGUGAUAGUCAAACUUAAAAGAGAAAUAUAUAAAGAUAAUAAAUAAAACUUCCUGACUAAUUAAAUUACUCUACUGUUUUUGACUUUUAGCGCCACCUACGAAUUAACUCACUCAUCGAUCAAUCAUGGAACGUCUAAGUACUUCUACUCGACACUAGAUGGAAGUAGUACUCGGAAUCUAUGCAUUUUGAGAUUAUUCAAUUCUCUGCCAAAAGAUUAUUUCGUAUCGGACCUGUUAAAAACAAAAUGCAAUAUUUUUAUUAACUAUUUUUAAUACUAAAUUAAAUCGAUCGUGUAAACCGCUUUUAAUCAUAAACAAUAUUUUCUAGAUGUCGGCCAUGUGCGACAAAAUUAAAAAUACGUCCUAGCAUCCCUGACAACAUACGAAACACUGCCUACAUGAUUUAAUCGGAUUGUAGCCGACUUAGUUAAAGUUCCCCAUAGAUGGCGUGUGUAACAAGAAAUAAAAGAAUACAAUGAAAUUUGGCCGUUUUAAGAUUUGAAUAUGCAUUUUAUAUUAAUAUGAUAGUAAGGAUGCAUUUAUCCAAUAAGUAAAUUAAAGUAAUUGAUGCAAUCACGCCAUACCAUAAACUAUUCUAGACUUACAACGAUAUUUUAAUCAUGGCAGCCCUAAGCUCUGACACUUUUCUAACUUCCGUUCAUUUAAGUUUUUUUAUUAGUAUUUUCUAUUAACAUCAUUCAUUUUCAUUGCCUAAAACUUGAUAUUAAAUCUCAAAAUUAUUAAUUAAGGUCAUAAAUACCCAAGUUACCUCAACUAUCAGUGUCACAGUGAAUUAACACCUUAAUAAGCAAACAAGUGACAACCAUCCAAACGCCAUAUUGUAAUUCAUCAAGUUGUAUAAAAUUUUUUGACAAAUAAUUACCAUGACGGAACUUUAAACUGAGCUGGAAAAGAUCGUCCUCGAGUGCGCUUUUAUGAUUCUCUAAAUAUCCCUACCCAUUGCCUAUCGCAAGAACUGCACAAGACAAACGAAAUAGAUUUUCGGAUUCAAACACGAUCAUGGUCUUCACUUUCAUCAAAAAUGUGUAAAUCUUCAAUGAACCUAAUGCCCUACGAUGACCUAUGACCUAAAGUUUGAACUGUAUAGAAACAAGGAUGUUUAAUUAAUGUGCCUAGCUCAUGUUCGAAUCGAUAUACCGAUCGAAAUGAGCUCAAAUAUGGAACCUGUUACUCCUAGCAAGUAAACUGACAACUCUAUUGGAAUAGUCCCUGUUGCCUGACAUACAUGAACUGAUAACAAUGAAAAUGUAUUGAAAUUAUGCUGGAGAACUCCGCUUGCUGGAUUUGAUGAAUCUUUACACAACCUUAAAGACAAACAGAGACAAGACUGAUGGCUGCCUACAUAUACCCAUACCUAGUGUUUGGUGAUGUUUAAGCCGAGCGGAGCAAAUUUCCGUUUGCUGUUUUCAUGGCUUUUCCGAGUAUCUCGAUAAUCUCCAACAAACAGAAUGGUUUCCUGACACCUAGCCGUUAGGUCCCCUAGCAGUCAGUUAGACUUAAGCCAAGCGAAGGAAAUCUCUAUGGUUAUUUUCAUGAUUCCUGUUUCUCCAUGUCUAAGCCACAAUUUUCAAUGUUCCGGAGAACUGACAGUGCCCCGCAGAGUCAUUACGUCUAGGCUCAAAAUACACACCAUGGAAUGCUUCUAUUUCUGAAAGAUUACGAAGUACCACACUACUCCAGACUCCUGUUCAAUAAUUUUAUUUCACAACUUUUGCUGUAACAAUGGCUGCUGUCUACUGCCACUUCAAAGUUCCUGUUCCACGGCUCUAUUUCUAGAAACCUGCAUCCACAUCAGCAGUGGUCUACAUUGAAUACUACUUAUAGGGAAAAUGACACUCAAGAUCUUCUUUUAUGUUAGGUAUCAAGGCGCAAGAAGAUGAAAUUAUUAAUUGAUUAUUUUGAGAUGACACGUCUCAAAUAUGAAAUGAAUCCCCUAACAACGGCGAGAAGAAAACUAGUAAAGAAGACUGAUAAACUUUAAAUGGAAAAUAACUAAUCCUUAUAUUAAGUAGACAAUAACUCUACGGAUU